CCUAAGAGAUUUUGGGCCCUCAAAGUCAUAAAACCCUUCUGGCUAGUGAUUGCCCGUUUUUUUGGGGCGUCGAAAAGAAUCGUUUCUCCAACAACAUUGCUACCAUCACUGACGUCCUCAUCACUAACGAGGCCUAAACACCGAUUCUCUCUUUUCUUCUCCGAAAUACUCUUGUGUAUUUCAAAUUCGGAGCCAAAAUCUGGUCAAAGAGAAACAACAACCCGAAAUUCAACCCGGUUGGCCAGCCAUUGAUGAGAGGUCUCUAAAGAUUGUUGUCUUCUUCGCUUCACAGUGAAGAAAUGCAUAGUCGGGGACCGAAUCACCGGCUAUCUGGUUCGGCUUUCAGAUCUCAAGUUUCGGUUCUCAUGCUAGUCGUGUCGACACCAUGGCAUCGAUUUACGUCGCCGGUCGGCUACGGCAGGAUUAUGAGAAUGGGGCUUAUUUGAUUAAAGAGCUGGAUAGGAGAACUAGUCUGGGAACAACACAAGAAGUUAGUAGCCCUUGAGAUGGAGUUAGCGGCAGCGCAACAAAAAGAUUUUGCCUCAAAGAACUUGUUAGAAAAUAAGGGGACUCCUCCCAAGAAAAGGCUUUUAGCUGUUGUUGGAAUUAUUACAAAGUUUGGCCACAAGAACAAUAGAGAUGCAAUCUAUAGAGGCACAAAUGCCAACUGGUAGAAUGCCCUUCUUUUUUAUACUCUAGAAGCAACUCUUGCUACUCAUUUGAAUAAGCCUUGAGUUUAUAUUGGGUGGAAAUCAGGCGAAGUUUUCUCAUUGAUCCACAAGUGGUAGGAACCAAACUGGUAGAAAUUUGGUGAUGGAAAACCGUGAGUAAUUCUGUAUUGAUUUCAUCUUGUCUCUUAUAUUAGGAUAGGUAAUUAUUACUUUCUAAUUCUGUUAACUAGUCAGGAAGUCUCUUAGCAUCUCUGAAUUCAUCUGACAGGUGAUAGAAGUCCCAAUGAACAACUAGGGCAUUGUCCAAUAAGACGCUUGCUUGAUAGAGAGUCAGAGCACCAUCCCUGAAGUUUUUGAGGCAUUUAAACAAUUUAUCAUUCUAUCAUAUUCUUGCCAUCUGUUACACUUAAUUUGCCUACCCCAUGCACCCAUAUUUUAACCAUCUCAGCUCUGAUUUAUGCCAAGAAAUCCUGGAGUUUGCAUAGGGAUGCCUUCUCAGGAAGUCAGGCUUACAUUGGCUGAAGAUACAUUUAGCAAAUUUAUAUGCUGGUGGAGUGGACAAGUUAUCAUAUGAGGGUUGGGUAGCAUUUACUCAGAAUCAUUUGGAAGAUAUCUUUUAGUCCACAAACAGACCUCUGGAAGGAAGACGCUGGUGGUUGUCUGUCGAGAAUCCUUUUCAAUGUUUGGCACCGUGUAUUAAUCUCUCAGAAGCAUUAAGAAGCUCCCCUCCAAAGACUACUAUUUCACACAUGCCUGUCCACUAGGUGCUUCAUUCUUAGCAUGAUCACAUUCAAACUGAGAAAUGUUUACUGAGUGAAAUCAAAUUAAUCCCACCUCCUCCCUACUCCACCCAACCCCACAAUCAAAAGAAAUCUCAAAACUAGCUUUUAUUGGAAUUGUGUUCUAUGCAUAAGCAUAUCAUUUGUUGCCCUAUGUAUUUUGUAUAAACUCCUCCAAGUAUAUAGCUCUUCUGCAUUUACACAUGGAAAAUGACAGUCACAUGAUUGUACAUAUCCUUCAGAGUACCCCAUUUGUUACCCCAUUAUUAGGAGCAGAAAUAAUGGAUGGACCACUUCUUUCACAGCCCUGUCUUAUGUUUGCACUAUCCUACUGUAGUAGGCUUGAGAGGAUAACAGACAUUUCUCGAACUUUACUUUUGUUUUCAUACUAAAUGCUUAGAUUCAGGUCAUUUGUCUAUCCAAAACUUAAUCUAAGAUUGUAUUGUUCUAUCUUUUUCAAGGAUGGCUCAUGCAAUGGCUUACAACACCAUGCUGCCCUUUGAAGGGACAAGGUUGUGGAAUUUUCUGCUUUUGAUUGAUUGUUGUGGAGUUCUAACUAUGUGAUAUGGAAACAUGGGUUUUGAUUAGUUAGGCAUAGUUUUUUACUCUUUUUAUGCUUUGAGACUAAAUGUGUCUCCGCUUUGAUCUUCUCUCUUUUUUGUAGAAAAAAAGAAUUUUGUUAAGGAAAGAUGGUAAAAGGAUAAGGAGUUGGAAAUUGAAACCCAAGAAAGAAACCAAACUUUGUUUGAGUUUAGUGCAGUUUAUUUAAUUUGAUUUUUCAAGUAA